GUGUGUGUGUGUGUGUGUGUGUGUGUGCUAUUAGCAAUGGUAAGUAAACAAUCCAUUCACACAGAUAGAAACAAUGAUACACAGAGUACUGAUACAGUGAUGCGAUACAGAGAUUUGUAAUAUUGCCAUUUACUGUUCUAUUUUCCUUCCUAUUGCAUAUAUUCAUAAUUCUUAGGAAAAGGCUGAAACAUGUGCUGGUCUAACGCUGACAUAACACCAUCUGUUCGCCUCAUUACUAUAUUAGUUUAGUAUACAGGUUAUUCCAUUAAUACAUUCAGUUACCCACUGCCCCCUAGACCAGAUCCUGCAGUAUGCUCUUUCCUGGUCCAUUGUAGACUAAAUGGGGGGCACAGAGGGGUUCUAAUCCCCAACAGCAGGUAUCCACACACAGUCUUGUGAAAUUCAUUCAAUCCUCCAGCAAUGGCUGCUCAGUCAGACUCUGUGAGACCCUGAGAUCCCUGUACAAAACAGACAAAGUAAGUUAAACAGGAAGAGCCUGGGAAUCAACAGGAAAGCUUAGAAAAACGGCAGCAUCUUCAGAGACGUGGCUCCUGAUGUUGUUAUGGUUGCAUUUCUUGAGGUUCAUGAUUGGCUCUUAUCUGGAAUGAAAGACCGUUUGCUCCCCAGAUCUCCUGCGUUUAGUUCCAUCUGCUUUGCAGUUCAAUUCAUCCAGCCAGGGCCCCCACCCCCUCUCUCCUCCAAAACCCCUCUCCUUCUCCCAUAUCAAAC